rnacentral:misc_RNA from 1 species
ACACCCAUCAAGCCUGGCUUGGUAUUGGGCGUCGGGAACUCUCCCGCGCCCCGAUUUCGCCGGCUGGACGACUCCGAUCUCUCAAGCGUUGUACAUUUUCGCUGGUGGAGCGGGGCGGCCACGCCGUCAACCUCAAUCAAUUCAAG